GGGGACUUAGCUCAGUGGUAGAGCGCUUGCCUAACAAGCGUAAGGCCCUGGGUUCAGUCCUCA
rnacentral:tRNA from 1 species